rnacentral:rRNA from 1 species
CUCAAAAAAUUUGGCGGUAUUUUAGUCUAUUCAGAGGAACCUGUAAUGUAAUUGAUAAUCCACGAUGAACCUCACUUAGUCUUGUAAACAGUUUGUAUACCGCUGUUAUUUGAAAAUUUUAUAAGAAUAAUAAUUUUCAGAAAUUUUUAUAAAAAAAAUAAAUCAAGUCAAGGUGCAGCUUAUGA